rnacentral:rRNA from 1 species
AUGGAGAGGCGGAGGUUGGAGCUUUCAGGGAGGGCACGAGGAGAGAGUGACAUGUGGGCCCCACCUUAUCCCGAUUCUCUAGUUCGUGCUGUACGCCCGCACCACCUCCUUGCGAAGUUGCGGCGACACAUUUUUUGGAUUGAUCUUGAUCAGCUCUGCAGAAUUUUGCCUGCGUGCACCGUCGGUUCGGCCAACCAACCUGGGCCUGCCACGUCUAUUCGCGCCCCCUCCGGGGUCGGAAGGUCAAAAAGCGGCGAAGGGUUCCAACUUGCGCCGGCAGGGUGGGCCGGUGGGGCCGUCAGCCCCACGCGGCGCCAACACGUAGAGAUCCGGCGUGGCGCGUGCGUGCGUCUCCAUCUCUGCCCCUCAGCUCGGGCCGACAAAAAGGCAACGCGGAGUGGGAGGAGCAGGAGAGCUCGAGGGAAGAAGAAGAAGAGGAGGAGGAAGAAGGCCCCCUCAAACCCAAAAGCGUCGCCCAGCUUCCGUCGGCCGGAGGGAGGUUUCAAUUGCGACGUCAAUUCACAACAAAUCCAGCAUAAGCCAAUGUCUGACAACAGUAUUCAGCGAGCAUUGCUAUCUGAUAACCCCGAUGCCAAUGUGCUCCAAAGAAAGCCGUCGCAAGGAGCCAAGCGGUUCCGGAGAUGCAGGUCGGCUCCCAGAUCAGAGACCGAUGAAAAACCACAAGAAAAUGGCUUGUCGCUUCCAGCCAAGGAGUUGUUCAGCGUGGUGCGGCCGAGCUUCAGACUAGUAGGGUUCCUCCUAUUUCUCUACCUGCUAGCGGGCGUCGUCAUCUUUUACCUUGUCAUGGAUCAGUUAUCUGGCAAGAGAACCAACAGAGUGCUUGACGCACUGUACUUCUGCAUUGUCACGAUGACAUCGGUUGGCUAUGGAGACCUUGUUCCUAACACAGACACGACGAAGCUGCUCGCCUGUGUUUUCGUCUUCACGGGCAUGGCGAUCAUUGCUCUCUUCGUGAGCAAGUCAGCAGAUUACCUCGUCGAGAAGCAGGAGGUGUUGUUCUUCAAGGCACUGCACAUGAAUAUGAAGUGUGGCGAGGCCAAAAUGCUCAGGCAAAUUGAGACAAACAAGACAAAGUACAAAUUCUACACAGCCGCUCUGCUUCUUGUGACGGCCAUUGUUGUGGGGACUGUUUUUCUCUGGAAGGUUGAGAAGUUGAGCCUUGUUGACUCCUUUUAUUGUGUCUGUGCCACAAUCACUACCCUGGGUUAUGGGGAUAAAAGCUUCUCGUCCCAAUUGGGGCGCACUUUCGCGGUAUUUUGGAUAAUUACGAGCACCAUAAUUCUGGCGCUGUUCUUCAUGUACCUUGCUGAGAUCUACACCGAGCGGCGGCAGAAAAUGCUGGCCAAAUGGGUUCUCACACGGAGAGUAACAACCAUGGAUCUUGAAGCGGCUGAUCUGGAUAGUGAUCGAAAAGUGGGUGCUGCUGAAUUUGUCGUGUACAAGCUCAAAGAACUGGGGAAGAUCAGCCAAGAGGACAUAUCUUCUUUUCUAGAGGAGUUUGACAAACUCGACGUUGACCAGUCCGGCACGCUCUCCACAUAUGACCUUACUCAGGCACAAUCCGGUCAGUGA